CAAGUCGAACGCGAAAGUCCCCUUCGGGGGAGGAGUAGAGUGGCGCCCGGGUGAGUAACACGUAGGUAAUCUACCUUCGGGUGGGGAAUAACGCAGGGAAACUUGCGCUAAUACCGCAUAAUGCAGCGGCACCACAUGGUGACAGUUGUUAAAGCGGGGGAUUUUAGGACCUCGCGCCUGAAGAGGAGCCUGCGGCAGAUUAGCUGGUUGGUAGGGUAACGGCUUACCAAGGCAACGAUCUGUAGCCGGCCUGAGAGGGCGGUCGGCCACACUGACACUGACAUACGGGUCAGACUCCUACGGGAGGCAGCAGUCGGGAAUUUUGGGCAAUGGGCGAAAGCCUGACCCAGCAACGCCGCGUGAAGGAUGAAAUCCCUCGGGAUGUAAACUUCGCAAGAAUGGGAAGAAUGAGCGAGCGCUAAUACCGUUCGUGAUGACGGUACCAUUUGUAAGCUCCGGCUAACUCCGUGCCAGCAGCCGCGGUAAUACGGGGGGAGCAAGCGUUGUUCGGAUUUACUGGGCGUAAAGGGCGCGUAGGCGGUCAGCACAAGUCAGUUGUGAAAUCUCCGGGCUUAACUCGGAAAGGUCAACUGAUACUGUGCGACUAGAGUGCGGAAGGGGCAACUGGAAUUCUCGGUGUAGCGGUGAAAUGCGUAGAUAUCGAGAGGAACACCUGCGGCGAAGGCGGGUUGCUGGGCCGACACUGACGCUGAUAGUGCGAAAGCCAGGGGAGCGAACGGGAUUAGAUACCCCGGUAGUCCUGGCCUUAAACGAUGGAUGCUUGGUGUCUGGAGUUUUAUAGUCUCCGGGUGCCGCAGCUAACGCGUUAAGCAUCCCGCCUGGGGAGUACGGUCGCAAGACU
rnacentral:rRNA from 1 species